GGGAUUGCCUCAGUAACGGCGAGUGAAGCGGCAACAGCUCAAAUUUGAAAUCUGGCCCCUUCGGGGUCCGAGUUGUAAUUUGUAGAGAGUGCUUCGGGCGAGGCCUCGGUCUAAGUCCAUUGGAACAUGGUGUCAUAGAGGGUGAGAAUCCCGUAUGCGACCGUGGCUCGAGCCCAUGUGAAGCCUCUUCGACGAGUCGAGUUGUUUGGGAAUGCAGCUCAAAAUGGGUGGUAAAUUUCAUCUAAAGCUAAAUACUGGCUGGAGACCGAUAGCGCACAAGUAGAGUGAUCGAAAGAUGAAAAGCACUUUGGAAAGAGAGUCAAACAGUACGUGAAAUUGUUGAAAGGGAAGCGCUUGCAACCAGACCUGCCCGUAGGCGAUCAGCCGCUGUUCUCAGCGGUGCACUCGUUCUGCGAUCAGGCCAGCAUCGGUUUCGGCGGUCGGAUAAAGGCCUUGGGAAUGUAGCUUCCCCUCGGGGGAGUCUUAUAGCCCUCGGUGCAAUGCGACCAGCCGGGACCGAGGACCGCGCUUCGGCUAGGAUGCUGGCGUAAUGGUUGUAAGCGACCCGUCUUGAAACACGGACCAAGGAGUCUAACAUCUAUGCGAGUGUUUGGGUGUCAAACCCAUGCGCGGAAUGAAAGUGAACGGAGGUGAGAACCCUCAAGGGCGCAUCAUCGACCGAUCCAGAUGUCUUCGGAUGGAUUUGAGUAUGAGCAUAGCUGUUGGGACCCGAAAGAUGGUGAACUAUACCUGAAUAGGGUGAAGCCAGAGGAAACUCUGGUGGAGGCUCGCAGCGGUUCUGACGUGCAAAUCGAUCGUCAAAUUUGGGUAUAGGGGCGAAAGACUAAUCGAACCA
rnacentral:rRNA from 2 species